rnacentral:rRNA from 1 species
CCUACCCGUACCGCAAACCGACACAGGUAGUCAAGGAGAGAAUCCUGAGGUGCUCGAGUGAAUCAUGGCUAAGGAACUCGGCAAAUUAACCCUGUAACUUCGGGAAAAGGGGUGCCCUCAGCAAUGAGGGUCGCAGAGAAAUGGCCCAGGCGACUGUUUAACAAAAACACAUGGCUAUGCGAAAUCGAAAGAUGAAGUAUAUGGCCUGACACCUGCCCGGUGCUGGAAGGUUAAGGGGGGACGUUAGUCGCAAGACAAAGCGUUGAACUGAAGCCCCAGUAAACGGCGGCCGUAACUAUAACGGUCCUAAGGUAGCGAAAUUCCUUGUCGGGUAAGUUCCGACCUGCUCGAAUGGUGUAACGAUCUGGGCGCUGUCUCAGCCAUGAGCUCGGUGAAAUUGUAGUCACGGUGAAGAUGCCGUGUACCCGCAACGGGACGGAAAGACCCCAUGCACCUUUACUAUAGCUUCACAUUGACAUUGGGUAAAUGAUGUGUAGGAUAGGUGAGAGACAUAGAUCCCGGGCCGCUAGGUUCGGGGGAGUCAACGGUGAAAUACCACCCUUUAUUUUCUUGAUGUCUAACCUCUAACAAGGGACAGUGUGUGGUGGGUAGUUUGACUGGGGUGGUCGCCUCCGAAAGUGUAUCGGAGGCUUUCAAAGGUAUGCUCAGUACGCUUGGUAACCGUACGUGGAGUGCAAUAGCAUAAGCAUGCUUGACUGUGAGACCGACGGGUCGAGCAGGGACGAAAGUUGGAUAUAGUGAUCCGGUGGUUCUGUAUGGAAGGGCCAUCGCUCAAAGGAUAAAAGGUACGCUGGAUAACAGGCUGAUCUCCCCCAAGAGCUCACAUCGACGGGGAGGUUUGGCACCUCGAUGUCGGCUCGUCACAUCCUGGGGCUGGAGAAGGUCCCAAGGGUUGGGCUGUUCGCCCAUUAAAGUGGCACGCGAGCUGGGUUCAGAACGUCGUGAGACAGUUCGGUCCCUAUCUGUUGUGGGCGUAGGAAGUUUGAGAGGAUCUAACCUUAGUACGAGAGGACCGGGUUGGACUAACCGCUGGUGUACCAGUUGUGGCGUCAGCUGCACCGCUGGGUAGCUAUGUUGGGACGGGAUAAGCGCUGAAAGCAUCUAAGCGCGAAACCCACCUCAAGAUGAGAUUUCCAUUAAGGGACGUCAGAGAUUAUGACGUUGAUAGGCUGCAGGUGUAAAGUCAGUAAUGGCAAAGCUGAGCAGUACUAAUAACCCU